GUUCUGCUCUCAGUAGAUUUUUGACCGCACUGCGAUGCAGACACCACUGGAAACAGGUCAAAGCGUCUAGUUGGGUGGGACCUCAAGCUCUCCAAUCAUAACAGUUUGACUAUCACCGAAGCUGUGUGUAGAGUGUUAGUAAUUUCCUAUACUUUUUUGAUGAUAAUUAACACUUGGUGAAGAAUCGGAGUGUGCAGCUCUUUCCCAUUCGGUGCCAUAGCCGAUAGUGUAUAUAUGGUGGAAGAGGCAAUCACUGUUGCGGUGAAAGUGUGAACAGUGAUAGUGAUAAACGGGAUUCGGCUCAUUAGGAUUUAGUGGACAGGAAUAGCCGCUUCCUAGCGCAGUGAAUGAAUCAACAUCGAAACACAAAGGUUUCCGAGAAUAAUUUUGGGACACAGAAAGCAGCCAGGUACGAGAAGCAAAGUUCGAUUAUAUUGAGUUAUCGCCGACCUCUCUGAUACGAGUCAGUGUUAAAUGAUUGUGUGUUUAUUUUGGCGCCAGCAGCUGAGGGACGUUUUCGAAUUUUGAUUGGCCCGAGGUUACCCUUAGCCUAGUGAGUGAGUGAGAGUGUUGGAAGAAACGCGAAAUCACCGGGAUAGGGGAACUCCCCUUCUCCCUCCCAUCACACCACCAGCCCAGUUCUGGUGCCAGACAGGGUUCCCUUCGGGAAAAAGGAGACCGACAGUACAAAACAAAACGACAUAGCAAGAAAAUAGAAGAGUGAACCUAGUGCAAUCAAUUGUGAAGGAAAAACGAAGAAUCUUAUCACAAAGCUAAAGUGCUGAAAGUGUGAGUGAUCUUUAGAAAAGAAUAAAAAAGAAAAACACACAACUCUGAACGACAUCGAAAGCACCAGCAAUGGCAACUCUACUGUAUACGAUCAUUGGCAUGACGGCCAGUGCGUCGUUGAACUGUGCUGUCCGGAGGGAGAUAUCUCCCUGUACCUGUUCGCCGCACGGAUUCUUCGCCAACACGAUCGAAGUCAAGUGCGAACAGAUGGAAUCCUUCAAUCAGGUGGUGGAUGCCCUGCAGGAUCGCUUCACGCCUGAUUACAACAUCUGGCUGACGAUAUCGCACUCGCAGCUGCUGGACCUGGCUACGCAAUCGUUCUAUGAGAUGAAUAUGAACAUCAAGACGCUCAAGAUGAACUUUGAUAAUUUGAGCAAUCUACCGGUUCCAACGUUUCAGAAUCUUCCAAGGUUAGAAUACUUCAGUGCAUCGGAGAACCGACUCGAGGAGAUUCCGGCGGACAUGUUCCAGCAUAUGCCGAAUGCUGGGACGCUGGAUUUCGCCAAAGGCAAUCUAAGGUUCAUCAACGGGGACACGUUCAAGCAGUUGCAGAACCUGAGGCAUUUGAUCGUGGCUUCUAAUCAAUUGCAGCGGAUCGAUACCGAUUCAAUGCCCCGAACAUUGAUCUCGUUGCAUUAUGGCCAUAACAAUCUCACUACACUGAACGGUACACUGAGGCAUUUAGAUGAGUUGAAGCUGUUGUUCAUCAACGACAAUCAUUUGACUUCGUUGGACGAUGAACUUCCACUGGCUUCUCCGAACCUGAUGACUAUCUUUGCUCAAAACAACAAAAUUGAUCACUUGCCUGUCGAGAUCAAAUAUUUAAAGAAUUUGGACUCGUUGUUCAUCAAUGGCAAUGAAUUGAGGUCUUUCGACGGUCUUCUAUCGCGAUCAGCUCAGCUCACCAAAUUGGUAGCUGUGGAUAACAAGAUUACUCAUUUGAGGAAAGACGAAUUUUCGGAAGCUGAGCGUUUGGAGGACCUACAGAUGUCGGAAAAUAAGCUGCAUAAUCUGAAUGGAUCGUUGGUGAACAUGAAGGGAUUGAUUAUGGCCAAUUUCAGCUUCAAUCUUUUGAACGAGUUCUCUCUGCAAGAAGUGCAGGGGCUGAGGAAGUUAAGAAUUCUGGAUCUGUCCUACAACAAAAUAGAGAAACUUACAGGUCGAAUGGAGAACCUGGUUGAUUCGGGAUCGAUCAUCUACGAAUUGCGAUUGCAGCACAACUUGCUCAAGUCACUCGACGGAACGCUGAUGGGACUGAACAAUUUGAAGAUUCUGAACGUGGCACACAACGUGCUGGAGGUCAUUACACCCGACGAUCUGAUCGGCAUGGAGAAUCUGGAGCAUUUGGAUCUAUCAUUUAACAAGUUGAAGACAUUGGAAGAAUUGUCUAAGACCUUCCUCCCCUCGUUGCAAGCGGUGAAUGCUUCGUAUAACCUGUUGACAACGAUGGAUAAAGAUUUCCACGGACUGCCUGUUCUGUGUACGGCUGAUUUAUCCAACAACAUGAUUCGUGUGUUGUCGGUUGACCUGGUUUCUCAAACACGAUGCAGCAAUCACGGUGUGCCAAACAAGUUGGAGAUUUUCCUACAAGAAAAUCCCGUUCUCUGCGACGAAUCUCUUCCGGAAUUGGUCUCUCAGAUGGAAUCCUACCACGCUCGGUUGAUUGGUAUUGCACAUUGCAUCGUACCUCAACAGAUUUCCAUCGACUCUCCCAUCUUCAUGCAACCUCCGAUUCCUCUGCUCAAGCCUCUUUUGCAACCGCAGUUGCCAAUGAUUCCAGCACCGGUCAUGAUCCAACAGCCAUCGAUUGUACAAAUUUUAGUACCGGCACCAAUGGUAGUCCAACCGCCAGCAUUCGCAGAUGCUGCAGCCGGGCUUGUCCAACCAGUUCCCUCAGUUCAAGGUAUUCAAGACCUUCAACAGCCUCCGGUGGCAUCUCCCCCGCAGAUCACUCAUAUCCCGCAGCAGCAACCCUACGACGAGCUGAAAUACGAUGCCCAGCCAGAGAUGGUUGCAGAAUCAGAAACCAUGGCACCACCGCCGGAAGAGAAUGACAUAGCAAAAAUCAUCACUCCCAUAAGUACGACGAUGAAAACGAUUCUCGAAUUUAAGAAUAUCAUUCACGAUACCUAUUCGGCGAUACCGCCGGAGGUCUUUCCCCUUCCACUAGAUAAGGCCCAAGGGCUUGCAACGGAACCGGAGGAACCACCGGAAACGCAACAAGAUCAAAGCGUAGAUGUAGAUGAACAUUGAACAUUACAAGAAUAGGUUAUUUUUUCCUUAGGUAUUAGGACAAGCUUGCUUCAAGUUUGGUCACAAAGCAAAGGCAAGCAAGCUAGAUACAAUUCCACGCUUUCAACUCUAUUGAAAUGUAGGAAAGUUUUGAAAAUCAAUGCAAAUCAAAUAAACAUUUGAUUGAAUAUGCAUCCGUAGAAAAUAGAUCAAAAGCUGUGUUAGGAAAUGUUACAAACACAAGUGAAACCCGCAUCAUGGCUAAAGCACUGAUUUAGUGAUAUCUGUUCGUUGUCUGCCUGAUGUUUGGCAGGAGUAGGUUUGGCAAUGUAUUCCUUUUGUCUCUAGAAAAAAAAAACUGCACACCCUUUGACGAUGGAUAAUCUGAUUCUGGAUAAUGUUAACGAUCGAUCGAAGCUAGUUGUAUUUGUUAUCCCUCUAAGCAAUUUGCAAAUGUUUAGAGUAAAUGUCAGACGAUAGUAAUCACUCCAGACUUCUUACAUUAUAAAGUGAUUAACGUACACUUUGCACAGGGCAAACACAUUGUUUUAGUAACCUUAGAGACAAUUCUUGUUAACUGGAGAAUUUAAGAUUAGGCUAAUAUCAUCAUUACAUACAUAAAUGUGCCAUCUAACAUGUAAAGUUCCAACUGUGACUUCCGUCUGUCUUUCUAUAACCUUACAUUCACCCGAAUUAUUAACGCUCCUUUAUGACGUUAUUUUCGACCUGUAUUUAUUCAUAACUGUCCCAUGUUAGGUAUUCUGAUAGAUACAUUUUGACGGAAACUCUUUUUAUUUGUGUCUUGAGACCACAGUUUUCUAUUCAUCUGUGACACAUAAUACGAAGCACAAGAUAAGCAAAAUCAUUUUAAGAAAAGUAUUUCACUUGCCACACUGUAUGUAGAGCUCGAGCAAAGAUUUCAACGUUCAAAAACAAUAUAAAAUUGAGAGAGAACAAAUGUGAAAAGUUGACAUUUAUAGAAUAAAAAAAAAUGUAAAAAAGUGAGUAUAAACUGAUUGGAUGACUCUAGAAUCUGCAGUACAAGCUUCCACAUUAUAAGACCAUACGAGAUCUGUACGAUGUAAUGCAUAAUCGCAAAUAAAAAAAU